UCGAGCGAACAGACGAGGAGCUUGCUCCUCUGACGUUAGCGGCGGACGGGUGAGUAACACGUGGAUAACCUACCUAUAAGACUGGGAUAACUUCGGGAAACCGGAGCUAAUACCGGAUAAUAUAUUGAACCGUAUGGUUCAAUAGUGAAAGACGGUUUUGCUGUCACUUAUAGAUGGAUCCGCGCCGCAUUAGCUAGUUGGUAAGGUAACGGCUUACCAAGGCAACGAUGCGUAGCCGACCUGAGAGGGUGAUCGGCCACACUGGAACUGAGACACGGUCCAGACUCCUACGGGAGGCAGCAGUAGGGAAUCUUCCGCAAUGGGCGAAAGCCUGACGGAGCAACGCCGCGUGAGUGAUGAAGGUCUUCGGAUCGUAAAACUCUGUUAUUAGGGAAGAACAAAUGUGUAAGUAACUAUGCACGUCUUGACGGUACCUAAUCAGAAAGCCACGGCUAACUACGUGCCAGCAGCCGCGGUAAUACGUAGGUGGCAAGCGUUAUCCGGAAUUAUUGGGCGUAAAGCGCGCGUAGGCGGUUUUUUAAGUCUGAUGUGAAAGCCCACGGCUCAACCGUGGAGGGUCAUUGGAAACUGGAAAACUUGAGUGCAGAAGAGGAAAGUGGAAUUCCAUGUGUGGCGGUGAAAUGCGCAGAGAUAUGGAGGAACACCAGUGGCGAAGGCGACUUUCUGGUCUGUAACUGACGCUGAUGUGCGAAAGCGUGGGGAUCAAACAGGAUUAGA
rnacentral:rRNA from 1 species